rnacentral:rRNA from 1 species
UACGUAGGGGGCGAGCGUUGUCCGGAUUUACUGGGCGUAAAGAGCGCGUAGGCGGCUUUGAGAGUCGGCUGUGAAAUCUCUGGGCCCAACCCAGAGGGGUCGGCCGAGACCUCGAGGCUUUGAGGGUGGUAGAGGAAGGUGGAAUUCCGGGUGUAGUGGUGAAAUGCGUAGAGAUCCGGAGGAACACCAGUGGCGAAGGCGGCCUUCUGGGCCACACCUGACGCUGAGGCGCGAAAGCGUGGGGA